UGGGGAAUUUUGGACAAUGGGCGAAAGCCUGAUCCAGCAAUGCCGCGUGUGUGAAGAAGGCCUUCGGGUUGUAAAGCACUUUUGUCCGGAAAGAAAUCCUUGGCUCUAAUACAGUCGGGGGAUGACGGUACCGGAAGAAUAAGCACCGGCUAACUACGUGCCAGCAGCCGCGGUAAUACGUAGGGUGCAAGCGUUAAUCGGAAUUACUGGGCGUAAAGCGUGCGCAGGCGGUUUGCUAAGACCGAUGUGAAAUCCCCGGGCUCAACCUGGGAACUGCAUUGGUGACUGGCAGGCUAGAGUAUGGCAGAGGGGGGUAGAAUUCCACGUGUAGCAGUGAAAUGCGUAGAGAUGUGGAGGAAUACCGAUGGCGAAGGCAGCCCCCUGGGCCAAUACUGACGCUCAUGCACGAAAGCGUGGGGAGCAAACA
rnacentral:rRNA from 1 species